CUCAGCCUAGUCCCCGCAACUCAAUUUUCCACAGUAUCAGACCUCAAGCCAGGAGAACCACUGCAAAUUUCAUCACUCCAACACUGCAAAAUAGGCAUUUCUGUUAUGGUCAAGCUUUGUUCUUCCUCUGACGCUCGCUGUCUAUGCUGGAUCGCUCACCUUCCAUUUCCAACCUCAGCCUUCUCUUUGUGACGCCUCUAAUCUCGAUUCUGGAUGGUAACAACAUAACUGGCAGAUUUUUCGUUGCCAUAUUGUAUUUUUGGCAUACCAGCAUUGGAGGCAAAGGUAGCACCGAGUUUGUGGUGAAGGGUUCUCACAAGAAUGUCCCUCAAGAGCUUAUUGAUGAACUAAGGGUUAUCUGUCAGGUAUGGAACUAUGCAAGACAAUGUCAUUAAUCUCAAGGUAGCUCUUGCCAAUGGAGAUGUUGUCAAGAGUCAAGACGCCUUCUUGGGCUCAAAAAAGUGCUGCAGGGUUGCAAUGUGUAAUUUUCCAACAAUUAAGGAUGCAGCAAGUGUUGCCAUAGCCACUAUGCUAUCUCGCAUACAGAGGCAUAUGCACAUGAGCAAACACUACCAGUUCAGAAGAUUGUUUCUGAGCACAAUGGCUCGGAUUUUGUUUUUGCAGAACAGCCUGAAGCUAUAAAAAGAAAUUUGGAAGGGAGAUUUACUUUUCACUCAUGUAUUAGUUGCAGGUCGUACUUUUAUUACCUCCCUUUUGUGUGUUUUUUGAAGCUUCUGGGGUUUCUGUCACUUAUUUCAGUGCUAAUAAUAUGUGUGUGUGUUCGUGUGUAUUUUUUGGAAUGAUCAAAUUUCUUGUUGUGAUAGCUUUUGCAUUGUUCUGUCACUUAUUUAAAUGCUAGUAAAAAUCCAUUUGUUAUUUCUAAUUUGCUCUCAAGUAUGUUAUUUUCCUAGACAGAAAAAUUAAUUUCUUCUUUUCCAUUUCAUCCCUUAUUUUAUGACAUAGGUUCUUCACAUUGUUAAAUUUCAUUUUCUCUUUUAUGUUUUCAGUUUUUGUUUCUCCAAUAGAUAGAUCUUUAUUGCAUACUUCUUCUGUACCCGCACUUGUUGGUGCCUUUUUCAAUAAGUGCACUUAUUAAAAAGUAAAAUAUAUUCAGAUUCACACACAUUGGCUCAUAGACCUAUAUCUGCAUGGUCAUUGGCUUUUGCACUGAAUCAGCACACUUAAAGCUUCAAUCCAGUACUUAUUAAAUGUCAGGUGAAUUUCCAGGAUCCAGUAUUAGAAAAUAACAAAUCUGCCUGUUUGUUAAUGUUGUUUAAGUAGGAUAUUGAUUUUCUGUGGUUAAACCAUUUCUAAGGUGAUCCCAGUGCCCAUCUGCCUCAUCCUGAUGGGGCAAACAUAGUCUUUCCAAAAUAUAUAUUCACAGUCCCAUUUAAAAAUUUUGUCCUCAGCAAUUCUUCUAAUCAAUGAGAUCCCCAUUCAGAGAGUUUAUCCUAACAGUUUUUUUAGCUGCUGUCCUUGUGUUUGUAAUUCAAGUUCUUGGUUUAGUGCAGAUAAGAAAAGAAGCUUUAUGGGCUUGCUUUGCAAUGGAACCAAAAUAUGAGGCAAUGAUUUCGGAUGUGUGUGUUCCUUUAUCACAUCUGGCAGAAUUGAUAUCAAGGUCUAAAGAAUAGUUGGAUGCAUCCCUACUGGUUUGCACAGUUAUUGUUCAUGCUGGUGAUGGGAAUUUUCAUACUGUGAUUCUUUUUGAUCUUAGCCAAGAAGAGCAGCAGCGAUUUUAUGGUCCAUAUUGCUUUGUCAAUGGAAGGUGCCUACUUCUGCAUAUAUUCUUCUGUUAGACAAUGAAUGCUUGAAGACAUCACAAGCCAUUAGUCAAUGAUGCUUCACAAAAUCACUUCCUACUUCCCUAUACAUUUGUUCCUACCUUUCUUUCUAUACUUUUUUCUUUAAACAAUUUCCAGUGCUAAAACAUCUCUCCCUUUUU